GACGAACGCUGGCGGCGUGCUUAACACAUGCAAGUCGAACGAAGUGGCGAACGGGUGAGUAACGCGUAAUCAACCUGCCCUUCAGAGGGGGACAACAGUUGGAAACGACUGUUAAUACCGCAUACUGAAGGAGGGGAUCGUGUUAGAUUAGCUAGUUGGAGGGGUAACGGCCCACCAAGGCGAUGGUCAGUAGCCGGUCUGAAAGGAUGAACCGCCACAUUGGGACUGGGGCACGGCCCAGACUCCUACGGGAGGCAGCAGUGGGGAAUCUUCCGAAAUGGACGAAAGUCUGACGGGGCAACGCCGCGUGAGUGAUGACGGCCUUCGGGUUGUAAAGCUCUGUUAAUCGGGGCGCGGUACCAGAAUAGAAAGCCACGGCUAACUACGUGCCAGCCGCCGCGGUAAUUC
rnacentral:rRNA from 1 species